UCCACCCUUCUCAUGUGCCUCCGCCGCCCCCCUAUAGUGCGACCUAUUAUUGUCAGAUGAUUCCUGCUAGGGUUGUGGCUGUGAUGGGUUAGCCAUGGCUUCGUGACAGAUAUUGUUAGCAUGAUCCGAAGCUAAACAGAUUGUUGUCUUUGUCUAGUGUCUUACUUUUUUCCUUUCGGAGAUGUACUUGCAUGAAAUAUAUAGACAUGCCAAGUUCUGCUGCUUUCAUGCCUAGCUCCUCUGCCUAACAUUUCUGCCUAGGGAUAUUGAGAAUUGAAGUAUAUGUUUAACCAGAGCAUUUACAAGCAAAUCUUUAUGCUUGCAAACACUGGUUACUCAUAAAAUGUUUUUCUUUAGAUUGUCGACAAUCAUCUGUAUUUUUUUUAUCAUUUGCACAUCCUUCUCAAACUUGAUAAAAUAAAUCACGGUCCUUGCAGCCUGCGUUGCCCUUAGAUUACAUACAUUCUCAUAAAACGUGCAAGACAGAAUGUUUCAAGGGCUGAGCAUGAUUAGAGUAUUAGGAUGUUUCAUGUUUUUUUCAUGGCAUGCUGUUCUCAACAAGGAGGAGAAAUGCGUCGAGAAUCUCUACAUGAAAGGUGUAACCCACCCUGCUCAUGUGCCUCCACAGAUCCCCUCUAGUGUGAGCUAUGAUUGCAAGAGGAUUCCUGCUAGAGUUGUCACUGUGAUGUCAAUUGGUCGUGUGGGUCAGCCAUGGCCUUGUGACUGACAUAUAGCAUUAUCCGUCUAUCCGAAGCUAAAAUAGAUUGUUGCCUUUUUCUAGCGUCUUACUUUUGCUUUUUGGCAACACUGGCAUGGCAUCUUUGGAUAUGCCAAGUAAAGUUGCUUUCAUGUCUAGCUCCUUUGCUUGACAUUUUCCCCUUAGGAAUAUCAGGGAUCGAAGUAUAAAAUUUAUAAUCAGACCAGUUAUAAUCUUUGUGCUUGCAAGCAUUGGUUAUUCAUAGAAAGAUUAUUCUAUUGAACGCCGAAGAUCAUCUGUAUUUUUCGCAUUGCCACAUCCUUCUCAAACUAGAUAAAAUAAAUUACGAUCCUUGGAGCCUUCAUUGUUCCUAAGAUUACAUAAGUUUUUAUAAAAUGUGCAAGAUAGAUUUUUUCAAGGGGCGGGCAUGAUUAGAGUAUUAGGAUGUGUCAAGUUUGUUUUUUCAUGACGUGCUGUUCACCACCGAUACGUGUGUAAAUUUUGCAUUGUUAUCAAUAUUUUAAUUAUGUAUUUGAUGAUGAUGUCUUUCCUAGUCAUCAUCGACACAAUGUAAUUAGUUUGUUUCACAAAUUUGUCAUGCUAAAUUAGUUGGCUGUGAAGUUUAAUCCUGCUUGCCGGAAGACAACUUGGACAUAAUUUUUAUCAGUUAAUUGGCGCUUUUUAUGUUCCUUAUGACCUUCUAACAAAUAUUCUGAACACAAGCAAAGCAGUAUCUUUCAGUGCUGGCUUCUGGUAGAUUUUGGCUGGCAAACUAAGUUGGUUCGUGAAUCCAUCAUAAGGGGCAUAUGCCACAUAUGUACUCACGGUAUGGAAAGGGCACUACAUCUACACCUAGCUUGGUCCCCGACAGAACUUGAUUAUUUCUUCUUUGCAGAAUGAUGUUAGUAAACAAUUAUUCGCACAUUAGAGGCUUGCAGGUUUAUCAAAUCGAUAGAAAAGAGUUUGCUAAAUCACAACACUCUACUCUAAUAUAGGGUAACCAUCAUCUUGUAAACUACAUACUCCACUGAUGUUCUAAUCUGUCCACAUUGCUUCUGCCAGAUAUCCUUGAGCAAUGGAAGCAAAUGCUUUUGUUUCAUCAACGGGAACAUCGGUUCUCAAGAGGUGAGGGUGCCAUUGGUCCAUGGAACAACCAGCAUGUUGUUUCCAGAUGCUUUUGUUGAAUUUGAAGCUGUGGUUGGCUUCUCAUGGGACGCAUAUUUGCGCGUCACAAGCAUACCAGUAAUCUCUUAUCAGGGCACAGGCUAUUUGCACCGAAUUCCUUGGGCAAACCCUUAUCUUCGACAUGAAAUAAAUGACCUGGAGAAGGGCAUCUUGUCCAGAUCAGUGCAGCAUACGAGAUGCUCACUACCUGUUACAUCCAUUGGGGAAGUUGUGAUUGUAUCAUGUAUUCCCACGACAAAGACAGGUUGUUUUUCAGAUUCUUCAAGUUGGACAUGAUAGCACUAGAGUGGUCGUCCCUCCAUGACCAGGAGUUGGAUCACAUCAACUGUUUCCUUUACAAGGGCCAGUCUAUCCAGGCGAAGGAGGAAGGCAAGAUCAAAGUCGUUGUGGCCGGCCGGUCACGACGCGCGGAAACGACCGAGUGCCUUACCUCUUGCUGGCCAGUUCAUACCCUGUAAUGGGCACCGCACGCUGGGAGCCAGGACAAUGUUUUGUGUUAAAGGAGCCUUUUUUACAAGUGGUUGCAAAAAGAUAUUGCUGGAGCUCACAACAGAUGGAUUCAGUGUGCGGAAAUUCCUUUAAAGAUUGAAGUCCUUGUAUGGCAGCUCUUCCUUGAUUCUAUGCUUACCAGGGACGAAUAUGUGUAAGCGAAACUACGGUGGCUCCCCUCUCUGUAACUUCUGUAAUGAUGUUGAAACCGCUUUUCAUUUGCUCAUCGGUUGUCCUGUGGGCAAGCUCCUUUUGUGGUUCUUAACACUCACUGUUGCCCCUCUUCUCUCUGGAAAGCUUUCUCAUGGUUUUAUGCUUUCCUCCUUGGUGGGGAUUGAUGCUAUCUGUUGGGCUAUAUGUAUUACAGCGAAUAGAGCCACCUUUGAUGAACAUAGCAUGCGUUCUCUUCUGUAAAUGCUCAUUGCUAACUUCUUGGAGAGGUCUCCAGAAAGGGUAGGAUCAAAAGAUGCUGAAGCUGGGUAGUUCACGGUUCAUGCAUAAGGCUUUGGAGCUGGCACCCAUUCAGGCCGGAGUAGCAGAUCUUCAUCUUGCUGGAAAUGGAGCGGCUAUUCUGUUGUGUGCAUGGUUCCUACGCUGCACUUAUAAUCGUGCUUGUACUGUUAGGGUUUUGCGUCAUAGUAGACGUUUUGAGUGCGGGGCACCUAGCAGCGGCUUUCCUAAUAGUGCAUCAAACUCACUGUUCUCUCUUUUUUCGUCUUCUACAAUGUGUAAGAACUUUGUAUUUCCGUUGUGAAAUGGAAAGGGGAAUGGCCUGGUUCGAAAAA